rnacentral:rRNA from 1 species
AGGACGAACGCUGGCGGCGUGCUUAACACAUGCAAGUCGAGCGGUAAGGCCCUUCGGGGUACACGAGCGGCGAACGGGUGAGUAACACGUGGGUAACCUGCCCUGUACUGUGGGAUAAGCCUGGGAAACUGGGUCUAAUACCGCAUAUGACUGCAUCCUGCAUGGGGUGUGGUGGAAAGUUCUGGCGGUACAGGAUGGGCCCGCGGCCUAUCAGCUUGUUGGUGGGUGAUGGCCUACCGAAGGCGACGACGGGU